rnacentral:rRNA from 1 species
AAACCGUUUAGGGGUAAACCUGAGAAACCCGAAAGGUCGAAGGGAGAAAUUCAUUCGCGUUUCGCCGUUGGCGUGAGACGGUCGUGUGACGGAAAACGUUCGCGUUUUCCGCACCUUUCGUUUUUCGAUCCGAUAGCGAACGCGUGCACUUUUCUCCUGGUAGGACGUCGCGAUCCGUUGGGUGUCGGUCUACGGCUCGCGGUGGAGCCCGGAUGUACGGCUUGCCGUCACGUCCGGACCCGCGUGUCCCGGCUGACUCGCUCGACGGUAUACGAAAGGUUUAAGGCCGCUCUUUGAGCGUUCGGCUCGUCGCAAGCGCGUCAGAUGUGUCGGUGAUCGGACCUAGUGCCGGUUCUGACCUCUGGCGACUGUUGGCGGCGAAGUUCUCGAACAGACCUUCGACCGAUCUGCGACGCUAUAGCUUUGGGUACUUUCAGGACCCGUCUUGAAACACGGACCAAGGAGUCUAGCAUGUGCGCAAGUCAUUGGGAAUCACUAAACCUAAAGGCGCAAUGAAAGUAAAAGUCCGCCUUGCGCGGACUGAGGGAAGACGAGCGGUUUACCCUUAAAAGUGACCGCUCCGCAUUCCCGGGGCGUCUCAUUCUCAUCGCGAGAAGAGGCGCACCAUGAGCGUACACGCUGGGACCCGAAAGAUGGUGAACUAUGCCUGGUCAGGACGAAGUCAGGGGAAACCCUGAUGGAGGUCCGUAGCGAUUCUGACGUGCAAAUCGAUCGUCGGAACUGG